rnacentral:rRNA from 1 species
UACGGGGGGGAGCAAGCGUUGUUCGGAUUUACUGGGCGUAAAGGGCGCGUAGGCGGCCACCGCAAGUCGACUGUGAAAUCUCUGGGCUUAACCCAGAACGGUCAGCCGAUACUGCGGGGGCUAGAGUGCAGAAGGGGCAACUGGAAUUCCAGGUGUAGCGGUGAAAUGACGUAGAUAUCUGGAGGAACACCGGUGGCGAAGGCGGCAUCCUGGACCGGCAUUGACGCUGAGGCGCGAAAGCCAGGGGAGCAAACGGG